rnacentral:rRNA from 1 species
ACGGAGGAUGCAAGCGUUAUCCGGAAUUAUUGGGCUUAAAGGGUGCGUAGGUGGAUUAUUAAGCGAGAGGUGAAAUGCAAUAGCUUAACUAUUGAAAUCCUUUGGAACUGGAAGCCUUGAGUUCAGGUGAGGAAAGUGGAAUUUCUAGUGUAGCGGUGAAAUGCGUAGAUAUUACGAGGAACACCAGUUGCGAAGGCAGCUUACUGGGCCGUCACUGACACUGAGGCACGAAAGCGUGGGGAGCAAACAG